GAAUUUUGGAAAGUCAGCUUGGCUUUGGGUAUUCUCUUAUUAGGCUAUUCAUCUAUUGAUCUCCUGCAUACUUUAAGUAUCGCAUAUUUGCGUUUGCCAGUCAUGAGCGGGGCACACAACCAUUUUGUCUAUCAGAUACAACGGCGAACGAAAGUUAAAUAAUUCUUGCAGCAGGUCGUACGUUUAUUCAAGAUUUGUGUGGAACAACUCACUUUUAGUUAACAUGGCAUCUUUUUGAAAAAGUGGCUCGAUCUGGCAGUCGCCGGAGCUCAUCCGGAUUGAUUGACAGCUCGGAGACGAAUUUGCAUAGAAAAUUAACGAGGGACAGCCGGGCGUGGCAUGUUUUUCCAGUUAGAAUUAAAAUGCCCUCUGCUAGAGCAUAACAAGCUACUAGGUGAAUUAUUUACUGCAUAAUAAACUGGCAAGAGUAGUAAAAGUA